rnacentral:rRNA from 1 species
GACGAACGCUGGCGGCGUGCUUAACACAUGCAAGUCGAACGGAAAGGCCUCUUUCGGGGGGUACUCGAGUGGCGAACGGGUGAGUAACACGUGAGUAACCUGCCCUUGACUUUGGGAUAACUUCAGGAAACUGGGGCUAAUACCGGAUAGGAGCUCCUGCUGCAUGGUGGGGGUUGGAAAGUUUCGGCGGUUGGGGAUGGACUCGCGGCUUAUCAGCUUGUUGGUGGGGUAGUGGCUUACCAAGGCUUUGACGGGUAGCCGGCCUGAGAGGGUGACCGGCCACAUUGGGACUGAGAUACGGCCCAGACUCCUACGGGAGGCAGCAGUGGGGAAUAUUGCACAAUGGGUGGAAGCCUGAUGCAGCAACGCCGGGGGCGGGAUGACGGCCUUCGGGUUGUAAACCGCUUUCGCUCAUGACGAAGCUUUGUGUGACGGUAGUGGGUAAAGAAGCACCGGCUAACUACGUG